GAUGAACGCUGGCGGCGUGCCUAAUACAUGCAAGUCGAGCGAACGGACGCGAAGCUUGCUUCUCUGAUGUUAGCGGCGGACGGGUGAGUAACACGUGGAUAACCUACCUAUCAGACUGGGAUCACUUCGGGAAACCGUAGCUAAUACCGGAUAAUAUUCUGAACCGCAUGGUUCAAAAGUGAAAGACGGUCUUGCUGUCUCUUCUCGAUGGAUCCGCGCUGCAUUAGCUAGUUGGUAAGGUAACGGCUUACCAAGGCAACGAUGCAUAGCCGACCUGAGAGGGUGAUCGGCCACACUGGAACUGAGACACGGACCAUACUCCUACGAGAGGCAGCAGUAGGGAAUCUUCCGCAAAGGGCGAAAGCCUGACGGAGCAACGCCGCGUGAGUGAUGAAGGUCUUCGGAUCGUAAAACUCUGUUAUUAGGUAAGAACAUAUGUGUAAGUAACUGUGCACAUCUUGACGGUACCUAAUCAGAAAGCCACGGCUAACUACGUG
rnacentral:rRNA from 1 species